rnacentral:misc_RNA from 1 species
AACGCACCUUGCACUCCUUGGUAUUCCGAGGAGUACGCCUGUUCGAGUGUUAUGAAGCUCUCAAAACGCAAUUGGCUUAAAACCUGAUUGUUGUUUUGGAUUUGAACUUUGCCGUGUUACAACGGCUGGUUUUAAAAGCAUUAGCUGGUACUAGAACGAAUUGGUUCUACUCAACGUGAUAAUUAUCUGAUCGUUGAGGACAUUUCUUUCACGAGGAAUGGCCAUAGUAAAUUCAAUGGACUGCUUCUAACUUGGCUUUAAUUCUUAAUUGGAUUAACCACUUUUCAAAUCUGACCUCGAAUCAGGUGGGACUACCCGCUGAACUUAA